rnacentral:rRNA from 1 species
UCGUAUGCUUCGUUCAAGGGCUAAGCCAUGCACGUCUCAGCGCAAACGGGUUCCCAAACAGUGGGUCUGUGAAUGGCUCCUUACAUCAGCAGUCGUCCCCGCGGUGAAGUGUGAUUGGCACCGACAAAGAGAGGCAACAGCAGCGAAGGGCACGCGGUGCCCGAUGGACAUCCCCAAAAACCUAGUGGCUAAUACACGGUCGAUCGGGUCUGCCGCACGUGGCGCGGGCGGCCCCCCCGCGAACACCGGCGGACGCCCCACGCCCCCCCAACCCACCGUCCGCGGUGCGGUCCGGGGGGGCGCUCGGGGCCUCGCCGGGGGGGGGCCACGCGUUUUCCCACGCGAAGGCGUCAGCGAUCGCGCUGCCCCCCUCCGCGUGGUGGUGGAUUGCACCCAGCCGUCGGGACUGAAGACCAGCGCCCUGGGAAGGGCAGUGUGCUCGGCUGAAUCAGGCUGGUCCCCCCCCACUUCCCCGCGGGACGGUGUGGCACUGGCAGAGACAACGAGCACGCAGCCCCCCCGCCCCGCCCCGCACCCCACCGGGGGCGGGGGGGGGCGGGGGACACGGGAGUCCAUCAUCCGACAACCCAAGACGCGCGCGGCCGCCGCGUGUCGCGUGGGUGAAUGCGGUGCGGGCGGUGAGGGGCCCCCCCUCCCCGCCCCCCUCCGGGUUCCCCCGCCCACACCGCGCGCCGCCGCGGACCUUGCUUGAUCGCUCGAACUUCUGACCUAUCAGCUUCUGACGGUGGUGCCGCGGACCACGGUGGCCCCAACGGGUGACGGAGAAUCAGGGUUCGAUUCCGGAGAGGGAGCCUGAGAGACGGCUACCACUACCAAGGUGGGCAGCAGGCGCGCAAAUUGCCCAAUACAGACGCACAACCCCCUGUGAGGCAGCGACGAGCCGCAACAGUCCCCCCGCCCUCUCCCGGGCGGAGGGAUCCGUAAUGGAUGCCAUCCAAACCCAGCGAAUGAGUAUCAACUGGAGGGCAAGUCUGGUGCCAGCAGCUGCGGUAAUUCCAGCUCCAAGGGCGUACACUAACAUUGCUGCUGUUAAAACACUUGUAGUCCGCCUCAGGGAUCCAGGUCUGCCGGACGGCCGCCGCGUCGCGCCCCCGCCCCCCCCGCGGCGGGUUACAACCUCCGCGCAGUAUGCUCCUGGUCCCGCCCGUUCAUCCGGUACKAUGGUGCAAUCGGCCCCCGCGCGAGGCCCCCUUCAGUGGGCGGCCGAGGCGGUCUCAACACCCGACACGUGUGGUUCCUUGACGCGAGGGGGGGGGGGCUCGCGGCGCGGGGCGGUGUGCSCGGGGGGGGGCGUGGUGCGGUCCGCCGCACCGCGCAUCCCCCGGCCCCGGCCCGCACCCGGACCCUCCCCACCGGGGGACGCGGCCCCCGUUGCGCCGUCGGUCUGCUCCCCCCGUCCACCACCGGGGCUCACCGUCCCCGUCACCAUGGAAAACUCAGUGUGCCCCAGGCGUUUCGACAUUGGCUCCCCCCUUCUCCCCCCCCGCCCCCGCGGCGGCGGGGGGACCGUCCGACCGUACGCCCGUCCAUGGAAUGUCACAGCAUCGACUCAAGGUGGCCACCGCACCGGGACCCCCGCGGUUCCGGAACCGUUUGUUUGUGCUGGCCUUGGAGCCCCUGCCCCGAGGGAACCUGGCGCCCGCGGCCCCCCCCAGCCCGGCGGACCCCGCACGCCCCCCGCGGCCCCCCGGGGCCAAACGGGGCGUUCCGCGGUCCCCGAGGGGGGGUGGGGCCCGCGCCGCUCGCCAGCGAGGGGACCGCUCGGGGCGCAAGGUAUGGCGACGCCAGAGGUGAAAUUCUCAGACCGCCGCCCGACCCGCGGCGGCGCAGGCGUUCUGCAAGUGCGUGUCCGUCGAUCAAGAAUGAGAGUGUGGGGAGCGAAGACGAUCAGACACCGUCGUAGUCCACCACCGUAAACCAUGCCGGCCCGGCCGCGGGGCGGCAAGUCCAACGGACCGCCCCGGAGGCCACGUUCCCCUUGCCACGAGAAAUCCACAGCCUGUGGGUUCAGGGGGGAGUACCGCCGCAAGGCUGAAACUUAAAGGAAUUGACGGAAUGGCACCACAAGGCGUGGAGUAUGCGGCUUAAUUUGACUCAACACGGGGAAYGUUACCRGGUCAGGACRKUGYCRGGAUGGACAGRCUGCKAGCYCUUKCUUGAUCCWKYGGAYGGUGGUGCAUGGCCGCUCCUGAUUGGUGGAGUGAUUUGUCUGGUUGAUUCCGAUAACGAGUGAGAUCUCUGCCUUCCACUAGCCCCUGUCUCGCAUCUGGUAGGGUGGACCCUUGGACCGCCUGGGCUGGUGGCUUGCCACUUGGUUCAGGUCCCUUGUGGUUCCCCGAGAGUGCAGGGUUGCUUCUCUGAGGUGCUGUGUACRMWRCCAAGUGCACGCAUGCUAGAGCCAACAGCAGGUCUGUGAUGCUCCCAGAUGUCCUGGGCCGCACGCGCACUACAUUGGCACKBBKAAGGGGUGAAACCGCCCGCGGGCCCCGCGCGGGGACCGGUCACCCCCCGAGCGUCGCCGCGCCCACCCCCCUUYUCCCCCUCUCCCCCCCCCCGCCGCACCCGCCCCCCCUCCCUCGCGGGGGGGGGACGGGACCGCGGCGGGGCCGGGGUGCGACGGGGGGGUGCGGGCGGUGUGCCGGUGGCGGGCGGGGUGUGCGGCGUGGUCCCCCCGCCCACCCGCGCCGCCUGCGUCCUGCCCCGAGGGGGGGCGGGAAACCCUGCGAGUCCGUCGGCCGUACUGGGGAUAGAUGCUUGCAACUGUCCGCCUUGAACGAGGAAUGCCUAGUAGGCUGGGGUCAUCAGCCCCAACCGAUUGCGUCCCUGCCAUUUGUWCACACCGCCCGUCGUUGCUACCGAUGGGGGCCGGAUAGAGCCCCCCGGAGGCCCCCCCCGCCCCCCCUCCGCCCCCGCCCGCCCCUUCGCCCCCUCCCCCGUCCGGGGCGCGGGGGGAGCAGGGGCGCGGUGCGGGCGCGGGGGACGGACGGCCGAAACCGGGCGAUGCCCCGCCCCUAGAGGAAGCAAAAGUCGUAACAAGGUUGC